rnacentral:rRNA from 1 species
AUUGAACGCUGGCGGCAUGCUUUACACAUGCAAGUCGAACGGCAGCGCGGGCUUCGGCCUGGCGGCGAGUGGCGAACGGGUGAGUAAUGCAUCGGAACGUGCCCAGUAGUGGGGGAUAGCCCGGCGAAAGCCGGAUUAAUACCGCAUACGACCUGAGGGUGAAAGCGGGGGACCGAAAGGCCUCGCGCUAUUGGAGCGGCCGAUGUCGGAUUAGCCAGUUGGUGGGGGAAAGGCUUACCAAGGCGACGAUCCGUAGCUGGUCUGAGAGGACGACCAGCCACACUGGGAAUGAGACAACGGCCCGACUCCUACGGGAGGGCGGAGGUGGGAAUUUUGGACAAUGGGGGCAAACCUGAUCCAGGCAUGCCGGGUGGGGGAAGAAGGCCUUCGGGUUGUAAACCCGUUUUGUUUGGGAAGAAAACCUUUUGGGUAAUACCCCGGGGGGAUGACGGUACCGGAAGAAUAAGCACCGGCUAACUACGUG